UACGGAGGAUGCGAGCGUUAUCCGGAUUUAUUGGGUUUAAAGGGUGCGCAGGCGGCACGGCAAGCCGGCGGUCAAAUCGCGGGGCUCAACCCCGCCCAGCCGUCGGAACUGCCGGGCUAGAGUGGGCGAGAAGUGCGCGGAAUGCGUGGUGUAGCGGUGAAAUGCAUAGAUAUCACGCAGAACCCCGAUUGCGAAGGCAGCGCACCGGCGCCCUACUGACGCUCAGGCACGAAAGCGUGGGUAUCGAACAGG
rnacentral:rRNA from 1 species